rnacentral:rRNA from 1 species
AAGUCGAACGGGGUGCUUGGAGCUGAUCGCUUCGGCGUGAUGCACCUUGUCACCUAGUGGCGGACGGGUGAGUAACACGUAGGUAACCUGCCCUUAGGAUUGGGAUACCCCCGAGAAAUCGGGCUCAAUACCGGAUGUGAUCCCGGGGUGAAAUACCCUGAGAUAAAAGCUACGGGCAACCGUAGCGCCUAAGGAGGGGCCUGCGGCCUAUCAGCUUGUUGGUGAGGUAAAAGCUCACCAAGGCUAAGACGGGUAGCCGGACUGAGAGGUCGAUCGGCCACACUGGAACUGAGACACGGUCCAGACUCCUACGGGAGGCAGCAGUGGGGAAUUUUGCGCAAUGGGCGAAAGCCUGACGCAGCGACGCCGCGUGGGGGAAGAAGGCCUUCGGGUUGUAAACUCCUUUAGUACGGGAAGAAGCCUUCGGGUGACGGUACCGUAAGAAUAAGCCACGGCUUACUCUUUGCGAGCGCCGCGGGAAGAAGACAGAGGUGGCAAGCGUUGUUCGGAUUUACUGGGCUUAAAGGGCGUGUAGGCGUCCUGAUAAGUCAGAUGUGGAAGCCCUGGGCUCAACCCAGGAAGUGCAUUUGAAACUGUCAGGAUUGAGUCAUGCAAGGGAGGACGGAAUUCCUGG